rnacentral:sRNA from 1 species
AAAAGAAAGGAAUGAGGGCGGACGAUGAUUCAAUAAUCUUAUUUUAUGCGCAAAUAUUUUUGUGAAAAAAAUAGGAUUAGUCUGUCCACAUUCAUUGAUUAAGAGAAAGGUCAUCAGCAUGGCUUUCUUAUAUAUGCCGUUAGCGCGACGGCUGCCUUUUUAGGUUCGCGCUCUGACUAAUCCUUCCAAUUUUAAUUGGAGGGAUUUUUUU